rnacentral:rRNA from 1 species
GACGAACGCUGGCGGCGUGCUUAACACAUGCAAGUCGAACGGAAAGGCCCUGCUUUUGUGGGGUGCUCGAGUGGCGAACGGGUGAGUAACACGUGAGUAACCUGCCCUUGACUUUGGGAUAACUUCAGGAAACUGGGGCUAAUACCGGAUAGGAGCUCCUGCUGCAUGGUGGGGGUUGGAAAGUUUCGGCGGUUGGGGAUGGACUCGCGGCUUAUCAGCUUGUUGGUGGGGUAGUGGCUUACCAAGGCUUUGACGGGUAGCCGGCCUGAGAGGGUGACCGGCCACAUUGGGACUGAGAGACGGCCCAGACGCCUACGGGAGGCAGCAGGGGGGAAUAUUGCACAAUGGGCGGAAGCCUGAUGCAGCAACGCCGCGUGCGGGAUGACGGCCUGCGGGGUGUAAACCGCUUUCGCCUGUGACGAAGCGGGAGUGACGGUAAUGGGUAAAGAAGCACCGGCUAACUACGUG